rnacentral:misc_RNA from 1 species
UUGAAGAGAGAACAAACAUGGAAAAUCCCAAGUUCAUUCUCAACCUGUAAGUGAGUUUCUUGCUCCAACCACCCCGACUUAUGACUAAAAUUAGAACUACAACCGAAGAACUCAUAUAAGCUACAGAAAAGACCUUCUCAACGUGCCUGGUUGGGUAGAGAUUUCCAAAGUAAUCGACAGCCGUGAUAAAAGCAUUCCAG